UACGAAGGGGACUAGCGUUGUUCGGAAUCACUGGGCGUAAAGCGCACGUAGGCGGAUAUGUCAGUCAGGGGUGAAAUCCCGGGGCUCAACCUCGGAACUGCCUUUGAUACAGCAUAUCUUGAGUCCGAUAGAGGUGGGUGGAAUUCCUAGUGUAGAGGUGAAAUUCGUAGAUAUUAGGAAGAACACCGGUGGCGAAGGCGGCCCACUGGAUCGGUACUGACGCUGAGGCGCGACAGCGUGGGGAGCAAACAGG
rnacentral:rRNA from 1 species